CCAGUGAUGAAGGAUUAACUGUUGGCUUUGGUGUAACUGUCAGUCCCAAGGGGCCAAUUGACCUAGGCCCCUCUAUUCACCCAGAGGAGUCCACUGAGUUAGACCAGUCCAUUGACCUCUACUCUACCGACCUAGACCUGACCUCAGUCCAGGAGGUGCCCAUAGGCCUGUACCAGGAGAACACAGAGGUUUUCGAAUUCCCCAGUGACCUGGAGUCAGUCACCUUCAGCAUUGUGGAAGAAGCCUUUGAGGAUUAGAAAACAAAGCACAUUUUCCAUGAGCUGUGACUAUCACUCUGCUAUCUGCCACUUUCUGAGAAGAUUCUGAGCUUCUGAACAAGCCCCGUCUACACAGCUGAGAUCUCAAAAUUGAAAAACUAGUGAAACACAGGAUGGACACAGCUGAGGGGAAAUGGCAAGAUCCUAGGCUGGGCAGUGCAAAUUGUGUAAGGAUGGGAGAGGGGCUAGUCUUAGGUGUGUCUUAUUUACUACAGACUGAAUAAAUGUUGAUUUGAAUUGAA